AUUGAACGCUGGCGGCAUGCCUUACACAUGCAAGUCGAACGGUAACGGGCCUUCGGGUGCCGACGAGUGGCGAACGGGUGAGUAAUAUAUCGGAACGUACCUUUCAGUGGGGGGUAACGUAGCGAAAGUUACGCUAAUACCGCAUAUUCUGUGCGCAGGAAAGCAGGGGACCUUCGGGCCUUGCGCUGAUUGAGCGGCCGAUAUCAGAUUAGCUAGUUGGUGAGGUAAAGGCUCACCAAGGCGACGAUCUGUAGCGGGUCUGAGAGGAUGAUCCGCCACACUGGAACUGAGACACGGUCCAGACUCCUACGGGAGGCAGCAGUGGGGAAUUUUGGACAAUGGGGGCAACCCUGAUCCAGCCAUGCCGCGUGAGUGAAGAAGGCCUUCGGGUUGUAAAGCUCUUUCGGCCGGGAAGAAAUCGUAUGGGCUAAUACCCUGUGCGGAUGACGGUACCGGCAUAAGAAGCACCGGCUAACUACGUGCCAGCCGCCGCUGUAAAAC
rnacentral:rRNA from 1 species